rnacentral:rRNA from 1 species
GAUGAACGCUGGCGGCGUGCCUAAUACAUGCAAGUCGAACGAAACUUCUUUAUCACCGAGUGCUUGCACUCACCGAUAAAGAGUUGAGUGGCGAACGGGUGAGUAACACGUGGGCAACCUGCCCAAAAGAGGGGGAUAACACUUGGAAACAGGUGCUAAUACCGCAUAACCAUAGUUACCGCAUGGUAACUAUGUAAAAGGUGGCUAUACUACCGCUUUUGGAUGGGCCCGCGGCGCAUUAGCUAGUUGGUAGGGUAAAGGCUUACCAAGGCAAUGAUGCGUAGCCGAAUUGAGAGGUUGAUCGGCCACAUUGGCACUGAGACACGGCCCAAACUCCUACGGGAGGCAGCAGUAGGGAAUCUUCCACAAUGGGCGAAAGCCUGAUGGAGCAACGCCGCGUGGGUGAAGAAGGUCUUCGGAUCGUAAAACCCUGUUGUUAGAGAAGAAAGUGCGUGAGAGUAACUGUUCACGUUUCGACGGUAUCUAACCAGAAAGCCACUGCUAACUACGUG